rnacentral:rRNA from 1 species
AGUGAACGCUGGCGGUAGGCCUAACACAUGCAAGUCGAACGGCAGCACAGUAAGAGCUUGCUCUUACGGGUGGCGAGUGGCGGACGGGUGAGGAAUACAUCGGAAUCUACUUUUUCGUGGGGGAUAACGUAGGGAAACUUACGCUAAUACCGCAUACGACCUACGGGUGAAAGAAGGGGAUCUUCGGACCUUGCGCGAUUGAAUGAGCCGAUGUCGGAUUAGCUAGUUGGCGGGGUAAAGGCCCACCAAGGCGACGAUCCGUAGCUGGUCUGAGAGGAUGAUCAGCCACACUGGAACUGAGCCACGGUCCAGACUCCUACGGGAGGCAGCAGUGGGGAAUAUUGGACAAUGGGCGCAAGCCUGAUCCAGCCAUACCGCGUGGGUGAAGAAGGCCUUCGGGUUGUAAAGCCCUUUUGUUGGGAAAGAAAAGCAGCAGGUUAAUACCCCGCUGUUCUGACGGUACCCAAAGAAUAAGCACCGGCUAACUUCGUG